rnacentral:rRNA from 1 species
UUGAACGCUGGCGGCAGGCCUAACACAUGCAAGUCGAGCGGCAGCGCGGGGCAACCUGGCGGCGAGCGGCGGACGGGUGAGUAACGCGUAGGAAUCUACCCAGUAGCGGGGGAUAGCCCGGGGAAACUCGGAUUAAUACCGCAUACGCCCUACGGGGGAAAGCAGGGGAUCUUCGGACCUUGCACUAUUGGCAGAGCCUGCGUUGGAUUAGCUAGUUGGUAGGGUAAAGGCCUACCAAGGCAACGAUCCAUAACUGGUCUGAGAGGAUGGUCAGUCACACCGGAACUGAGACACGGUCCGGACUCCUACGGGAGGCAGCAGUGGGGAAUAUUGGACAAUGGGGGCAACCCUGAUCCAGCCAUGCCGCGUGUGUGAAGAAGGCCUUCGGGUUGUAAAGCACUUUAAGUGGGGAGAAAGGUUCGGCAGUUAAUACCUGCCGGAAGUGAUGUUACCCACAGAAUAAGCACCGGCUAACUCUGUGCCAGCAGCCGCCGUAA